rnacentral:rRNA from 1 species
GAUGAACGCUGGCGGCGUGCCUAAUACAUGCAAGUCGAGCGAAUGGAUUAAGAGCUUGCUCUUAUGAAGUUAGCGGCGGACGGGUGAGUAACACGUGGGUAACCUGCCCAUAAGACUGGGAUAACUCCGGGAAACCGGGGCUAAUACCGGAUAACAUUUUGAACCGCAUGGUUCGAAAUUGAAAGGCGGCUUCAGCUGUCACUUAUGGAUGGACCCGCGUCGCAUUAGCUAGUUGGUGAGGUAACGGCUCACCAAGGCAACGAUGCGUAGCCGACCUGAGAGGGUGAUCGGCCACACUGGGCCUGGGACACGGCCCAGACUCCUACGGGAGGCAGCAGUAGGGAAUCUUCCGCAAUGGACGAAAGUCUGACGGAGCAACGCCGCGUGAGUGAUGAAGGCUUUCGGGUCGUAAAACUCUGUUGUUAGGGAAGAACAAGUGCUAGUUGAAUAAGCUGGCACCUUGACGGUACCUAACCAGAAAGCCACGGCUAACUACGUGCCAGCCGCCGCAGUAA